CAUGUACUACCUUCGUCCCUAAAUUCUUGUUUUAGAUUUGUGUAGAUAUGAAUGUACCUAGUCAUGUUUUAGUAUUUAAAUACAUCCACUUGUAGACAAACUUAAGACAAGAAUUUUGGGACGGAGGGAGUAUUUA
rfam:Hordeum vulgare subsp. vulgare, WGS project CAJW01000000 data, contig: morex_contig_2568645